GAUGAACGCUGGCGGCGUGCCUAAUACAUGCAAGUCGAGCGAACGGACGAGAAGCUUGCUUCUCUGAUGUUAGCGGCGGACGGGUGAGUAACACGUGGAUAACCUACCUAUAAGACUGGGAUAACUUCGGGAAACCGGAGCUAAUACCGGAUAAUAUUUUGAACCGCAUGGUUCAAAAGUGAAAGACGGUCUUGCUGUCACUUAUAGAUGGACCCGCUCUGCAUUAGCUAGUUGGUAAGGUAACGGCUUACCAAGGCAACGAUGCAUAGCCGACCUGAGAGGGUGAUCGGCCACACAGGAACUGAGACACGGUCCAGACUCCUACGGGAGGCAGCAGUAGGGAAGCUUCCGCAAUGGGCGAAAGCCUGACGGAGCAACGCCGCGUGAGUGAGGAAGGUCUUCGGAUCGUAAAACUCUGUUAUUAGGGAAGAACAGAUGUGUAAGUAACUGUGCACAUCUUGACGGUACCUAAUCAGAAAGCCACGGCUAACUACGU
rnacentral:rRNA from 1 species